rnacentral:rRNA from 1 species
AUUGAACGCUGGCGGCAGGCUUAACACAUGCAAGUCGAGCGAGCGGCGGACGGGUUAGUAAUGUCUGGGAAACUGCCUGAUGGAGGGGGCUAACUACUGGAAACGGUAGCUCAUACCGCAUACCAUCAGAUGUGCCCAGAUGGGAUUAGCUAGUAGGUGGGGUAAUGGCUCACCUAGGCGACGAUCCCUAGCUGGUCUGAGAGGAUGACCAGCCAAAGUGGAACUGAGACACGGUCCAGACUCCUACGGGAGGCAGCAGUGGGUAAUAUUGCACAAUGGGCGCAAGCCUGAUGCAGCAAGGCCGCGUGUGUGAAGAAGGCCUUCGGGUUGUAAAGCACUUUCAGCGAGGAGGCGUUACUCGCAGAAGAAGCACCGGCUAACUCCGUGCCAGCAGCCGCGGUAAUUC